AUUGAACGCUGGCGGCAUGCCUUACACAUGCAAGUCGAACGGUAACAGGUCUUCGGAUGCCGACGAGUGGCGAACGGGUGAGUAAUACAUCGGAACGUGCCCGAUCGUGGGGGAUAACGGAGCGAAAGCUUUGCUAAUACCGCAUACGAUCUACGGAUGAAAGCAGGGGACCGCAAGGCCUCUCGCGGAUGGAGCGGACGUGGGCUGAUUAGGUAGUUGGUGGGAUAAAAGCUUACCAAGCCGACGAUCUGUAGCUGGUCUGAGAGGACGACCAGACACACUGGGACUGAGACACGGCCCAGACUCCUACGGGAGGCAGCAGUGGGGAAUUUUGGACAAUGGGCGAAAGCCUGAUCCAGCCAUGCCGCGUGCAGGAUGAAGGCCUUCGGGUUGUAAACUGCUUUUGUACGGAACGAAAAGCCUCUUUCUAAUAAAGAGAGGUCAUGACGGUACCGUAAGAAUAAGCACCGGCUAACUACGUGCCAGCCGCCGCCGUAAAAC
rnacentral:rRNA from 1 species